AUCAUUUAUGCUCAUAUCUGUUAUACUAAAUACAAGGAAUUAACCUAAAAAAAAUCAAAUAGUCACUUCAUCAAAGGUAUUUGCUCAACUAUUACUACUUGAGAACGAGAUAAAACAAAUUCAGAAAAGGAAACAUUCUUCUAAAUGUAGUUUGUUAUAUCCCAGGAAUAACAGCUAAAAUUGUAUUAUUAACUCACCACAAGUUUCUCACAUAGGACUUCACAGCUCAGAAUGAGUCAAUAAAUAUUUGACAUAUGACGCCCAUUUUGCUUUGGGGGAAAAGCUUUUAACAAAACAAUACAAAAAUUUUCUAUGUACUAAGAAUAAGUUAGGAUCACUGAGCACCAGGGGCUCAUGCCUGUCUGUUAUCUUGGCUACUCAGGAGGCUAAGAUGUAGGGAUCAUAAUUCAAAGCAGACCGGGCAAGAAAGUUUAUGAAACUCUUAUCUCCAAUAAAGCACCAGAAAGCUGAAGUAGAGUUGUGGCUGAAGUGUUAGAGAGCUAGCCUUCAGCAAAAAAGCUCAGAGAGUGCCUAGACCCUGAGUACAAGCCCUAGGACUGGGAGCCGGGGAAGAAAACACAAAAGAUGUGAAUGUUUAAAGUAUAUUCUCUACUUUGUAUUGUAUGCACUUACAACAUUUCAUAUUAACCUAAGAACCCACCAAGUGAUGAAUGGCUAAAUUAAGAUGUAGUAGAUUUGUGAAAUUUCUGAUAAGCUAAGGGAAGGAACACAGAAACAAAGGACCACAAUGUAUAUGUGUGGUUCCACAUAUAUGAAACAUCUAGUAUAGAUAAAUCUGUAAUGACUGAAAGAUUACUAGGAGCUGGGGUUGGGAGGAAUAAGAACUGGAGUAAAAGUUUCAUUUUCAUGGUAGGAAAAUAAAUUCUAGAAGUUCAUAGUAUGGAUGGUUAGAGCACUAUGAAUAGUAUACCUUAAAAGUGUGACUUUUAUGAUGUCUGAGUUACAACUCAAUGAAACUCCCUUUAAAAAGAGAAUAAAAACAAUGUGGGAGGAAGGGGCUGGGAAUAUGACCUAGUGGCAAGAGUGCUUGCCUC